rnacentral:rRNA from 1 species
CAGCAGCCACGGUAAUACGGAGGGAGCUAGCGUUGUUCGGAAUUACUGGGCGUAAAGCGCACGUAGGCGGUUAUUCAAGUCAGAGGUGAAAGCCCGGGGCUCAACCCCGGAACUGCCUUCGAAACUAGAUGACUAGAAUCUUGGAGAGGUCAGUGGAAUUCCGAGUGUAGAGGUGAAAUUCGUAGAUAUUCGGAAGAACACCAGUGGCGAAGGCGACUGACUGGACAAGUAUUGACGCUGAGGUGCGAAAGCGUGGGGAGCAAACAGGAUUAGAUACCCCAGUAGUCCCUGUCUCUUAUAC